rnacentral:tRNA from 1 species
AACAAGAUGGUUGAAUUAUAAACAAUAAACUGUAAAUUUAUUAAUGAGGUUUUCCUCUCUUGUAU